rnacentral:rRNA from 1 species
UACAGAGGUCUCAAGCGUUUGUUCGGAUUCAUUGGGGCGUAAAGGGUGCGUAGGUGGCGAUGUAAGUCUGGUGUGAAAAUCUCGGGGCUCAACCUCGAAAUUGCAUUGGAUACUGCGUUUGCUUGAGGAUUGUAGAGGAGAGUGGAAUUCACGGUGUAGCAGUGAAAUGCGUAGAUAUCGUGAGGAAGACCAGUUGCGAAGGCGACUCUCUGGGCAAUUCCUGACACUGAGGCACGAAGGCCAGGGGGAGCAAACGGG